AUCAAAUAAUACAAUUAUUAGCCAAUUAAUUUCAUUGUUGGCGAGAUAUUUAUGUUGCAAGUUUAUAUGUACAUUAUUUUUGAUCAGAGUAAACUGUCGAAACCAAAGACUCGAAACCAAAAUAAUUUCAAUAUAAAAAGGAUAACAGCAAUGCUUCGAAUUAGGUCGGACUACAAAUACAAUAAAAACGAAAAGGCCCGCUAUACUUAAUUACUAUCAGGUACUCAUUAUUCCGUUAACGAAUUUAAAAUAACUAUGUGGCUCUAACCCUUCCAUUCUAUUAUAAUUCUCGAUAAACAUUUUUACACUUCCAGAAAAGUUAAUUUCCGUAAUAUUUUUUGAUAUUUAAAUAAGCGGUACAAUAUUAUAAAAUUCUUCUUAAGGUUAAAAUGUUUUAAUAUUUAUUAUAGUUUAAGAAUAUGUCGCAAUAUUAAAAUAUAUUAAUUAUUAAUUAUACCAUAGUUUAAGAAUACGUCGUAAUCGUAAUCUUAGGCGAGUACAUUUUCAGUGAAUUCGGGGAAUUACACGCUUUUGUUUUAAUAGAUAUGGAGCGCAGAUAUCGAGAAUCUUAAGUAAGACAGAAAGUUUUAGUUUUUAUUUUUUUAAAUGGAUUAAGAAAAACAUCGAAUCGUUUAUACUAGGGGUAAUAUAUAUGUACUUUAAACUUUGGUAUAUUUUUAUAAAAAAUUACAUUAAAUUCAAUUAAAAAGGUUGUGGGCAUAUAUUAACUUUAAGACUUUAAGGACUUUAAGACGAAGCCGAAAUGUAGAUAUUUUUAAGGACCAAUGCCUAACAUAACAAUCGUGACUAUAAAGAACCCGUCACUGUCUUACGUAUUUUUAAAAUAAUAAGCUUUUUUAAAUAAAACUAAUAGUUUAUAUCAUCAGCUAAUGAACUUUUACUUGACUAGGGAAUGAUUCAAUUUUUGUUUCUAUAAAUUUUAAAACAUCUUUUUUUUAGCGGAAAUUGACAAACCUUGACCAUUUCUUAAAAACCCUGUUUAAUAAUUAAAACUUAAUAAAUUGCAAAAUAAUGGUUGGAGUUGAAAAUGUUUGGUAUAUGGAUAGAUAUUGAGAAAAAAAUGUUAUAAAUGGAUGACACAGUUUUCUUGUAGGCUUUAGAGUGGGCGUAGCCGGUUAAAAUAUCACCUCGAGCAGCGGUAGCAUUUUUAGAAUACAAGUUAACAAAGCAAAGGUGAUAUGAGCUAAGAGCACCACGACGGAAGGCACACGAAGUCUUACGACGGGCGUUGGUCGACGGCCGUGAUUUGUUUGUUUGUUUGUUUAUUACUUUUGAGCUGACAGCCAAAGAAUAAAGGCACCUCUUCCAAAUCGAGUGUAUCAUUUUUGUCAACCUCGGCGAUAAUACAUAUAUAGGAUAGGAGCCACGACACGGCUAUCAGCUUACUAGAAGAGUUUUAGCAGCACCAUCGUCACUGAUCAUUUCCUGAGAUCUCAGCGUUCAUACGAACAGACGGACGGACGGACAUGGCUUAAUCAACUUGGCAAUUGAUCCAGAUCAUAAAUAUAUGUGGGAUUGGUUUGGAAGAACAGAUGAAGGCCCUAAACAACGAAGCAGAAACCAAGAGUUAACGAUUGACCAUCUGGCGAAGGAGACCAUGAGAUGUAGAGGAGUAAGACGACGACGAGAACGAAGCCAACGGCGAGUAAAGCGUCAUGCGGAUCGCGGAGUUUGAGAGAACAGUUUACGACGAAAAGACGUGCUCAUGAGGAGCAAAUACUCAUGAGCAAAUAAUCAUAAGUUAAUUAAGCAAUAUAAUAUAAACUUAACUAUAAUAUAACCAAUGGAUGUGAUGGAUAUAACUAACCCUGGCUAAAUAUAACACACCUGUACUUGUAAAAAUGUUACAAGAAUAACCAAA